GCUGGUGACGCCUUGAAUUUCUUUCCUUCCAGACGUAGUACACGGCAGUUUGGAAUAGCAUCCUUGCGAGAAUUGAGUCGAGGCUUUUUCCUCCCAUAGUACGUAGCCGAUUGACAGUCCAUGCCCAAUCUGGGUUGAUGUUCCGUCCAACAAGUGGUCUUGCCAGAGAUUCCCAUAUCGUGUAAGAGUAUGGGCAGGCGAAGAACAGGUGAUCUCUUGUCUCAUUUCUCUCUCCACAAAAGCCACAAACCUGAGUAAUACCCCAUGUUCGCAUGCGAUCUCCCGUUGAUAACCUGUUCCUUAUUGACAGCCAUGUUAUGAAG
rnacentral:lncRNA from 1 species